UUAAGUCAUCCCUGUGAUGAUUUACCCACAUUUGGCCAAGUUAUUAAAAAGCUCUUGCUCACUAAAGGCUUGGCCAAAUGUGGGUAAAUCUUCACAGGGAUGACUUAAA
rnacentral:pre_miRNA from 14 species